rnacentral:rRNA from 1 species
UACGGAGGGGGCUAGCGUUAUCCGGAAUUACUGGGCGUAAAGGGCGUGUAGGUGGCGCUGUAAGUCGGGCGUGAAAUCUCGGGGCUUAACUCCGAAACUGCAUUCGAUACUGCGGUGCUUGAGGACUGGAGAGGAGACUGGAAUUCAUGGUGUAGCAGUGAAAUGCGUAGAGAUCAUGAGGAAGACCAGUGGCGAAGGCGGGUCUCUGGACAGUUCCUGACACUGAGACACGAAGGCCAGGGGAGCAAACGGG